CUUGAGGGGCCGUUCGAGGUCUUCGGAGGGCUGCUGCUGCUGUCCGUGUUCGCCCGGGGAACAUUCAGCAGCAACUGGUCAGCAGACCUUUGAGUGUGAACAGGAAUGUCAGGGAGGAGAAGGUCAGCAAUGCAGGAAGGAGCCAAGGCUUGGCCGUACCCCACGAAGCAGUAAAACUUUCACAUCAACUCUAGAGGCCGUGAGAAGAACAGGUGUGUGUGUGUGUGUGUUACCUGGGAGCUCCGGGCCGUCCUCUGGAGCGCUUCCAGCUGUCCCCGACACAUAAGAGACAGAUGGCACGAAGGACAAAAAGACUCAAAGACAAUGAAGAAAGUACAGCAGCAAACCUUCAGCGGACCACAUGAAUGCUGAAGGGCGCCGCGCAGCUCUGUGACCACGGCUCCUGUGACUCCGCCUCCGUGAGGGGGCAUCGAUCCAGAGGAAGGCCAUGUGGUCUUGAGAUGACCUUGGCAGAAUUAGAUGGAGGCUUGCUAUCAUCACCUCACACACACACACACACACACACACACACACACACCAUGCAUACCAAUGGUCAAUGAAACCUAAGCAGGCUCUCUAUCAGCUAAAAACACACACACACACACACACACACGUACAAACCACGCACUAAGGUGCACACUGUCCGACACACACACAGUCACACGCAUUACCAACCACUGAUCUAUAGCAACCCUAUUGGGAAGUUACAACAAGCCAGAGGACAG
ensembl:lncRNA